rnacentral:rRNA from 1 species
CUGGCGGCAUGCCUAACACAUGCAAGUCGAACGAAGCCUUCGGGCUUAGUGGCGCACGGGUGCGUAACGCGGUGGGAACCUACCAUCAGGGUUCGGAAUAACAGUUAGAAAUGACUGCUAAUACCGGAUAAUGUCUUCGGACCAAAGAUUUANCGUCCUUUUGACGGGCCCGCGUUGGAUUAGCUAGUUGGUGGGGUAAAGGCCUACCAAGGCGACGAUCCAUAGCUGGUCUGAGAGGAUGAUCAGCCACACUGGGACUGAGACACGGCCCAGACUCCUACGGGAGGCAGCAGUGGGGAAUAUUGGACAAUGGGCGAAAGCCUGAUCCAGCAAUGCCGCGUGAGUGAUGAAGGCCUUAGGGUUGUAAAGCUCUUUUACCAGGGAUGAUAAUGACAGUACCUGGAGAAUAAGCUCCGGCUAACUCCGUG